UACAGAGGUCUCAAGCGUUGUUCGGAUUCAUUGGGCGUAAAGGGUGCGUAGGCGGCGCGGUAAGUCGGGGGGGAAAUCUCGGGGCUUAACUCCGAAACUGCAUUCGAUACUGCCGUGCUUGAGGACUGGAGAGGAGACUGGAAUUUACGGUGUAGCGGUGAAAUGCGUAGAUAUCGUAAGGAAGACCAGUGGCGAAGGCGGGUCUCUGGACAGUUCCUGACGCUGAGGCACGAAGGCCAGGGGAGCAAACGGG
rnacentral:rRNA from 1 species